ACAUCGGACUCCAAAUUCUUCAGCUUUGGGACGGACUGGCUUCCUUGCUCCUCAGCUUGCAGACAGCCGACUGUGGGACCUUGUGAUCAUUUUGGAAACAGAUACUGCAAUCCCAGAAAAUCUUGCCAUAAGAAGAGCCUAGCCAAUAGUUUGACUGCGAUUUCAUGGGAGACCUCAAGGCAGAGUGAUCCAGAAUACCACAGUCUGGAGGCUAUGAAGUCCAUGAUUAAGAAGCCAGCACGUUUGCUUUCUGGUUCCAAGAUGGCAUACCUUUUUGCUGCUUCCUCCAGAGAGGAGGAACACUGUGUUCUCACAUAGUAGAAGAUGGAAGGAGCAGAUGCAGAUGAGCAUGGCAAUGUGAGAAUAUGUCAGAGGCCCCAGGAUGAAAUGAGCUCAAGUCCCUGAAAUCCCUGUUAGAAGAGUCUUUCCACUGGUUGGGAAUGCUAAUUGUAUUUUGACAACUCAAUGUUUCAGCAACUCAAAAUGUUACAGCUUCUGCAUUGGAAUAAAAAAAGGAAAGAAAACAGAAUUUGUACUCAUAUCAGAAGGCAAUCAAAGAACAUACACAUAAUAUACAUUCUAUUAUAGAGGAGAAGAAAUGCUUACUGCCAAUACCAUGACAGAUAACAAAUUAUCAGGUGAAAAUAUUUAAUUAAAAAUACUA
rnacentral:lncRNA from 1 species